rnacentral:tRNA from 2 species
CCCCCGAUAGCUCAGUUGGAAGAGCGCGAGACUGUAAUGGAUAAAAUCAAGUCGAUCUUGAGGUCGCUGGUUCGAUCCCGGCUCGGGGGA